rnacentral:rRNA from 1 species
CACCGGAGCCACGAGUGGGGGUCACAUUUAUUGGGUCUAAAGCAUCCGUAGCCGGAUUUACAAGUCUUUUGUGAAAUUGUCAAGCUUAACUUAACAAAUUGCAAAAGGUACUAUAAAUCUAGGGACCGGGAGGAGACAGAGGUAUUCCAGGGGGAGCGGUAAAAUGUUAUAAUCCCUGGAGGACGACCAGUGGCGAAGGCGUCUGUCUAGAACGGGUCCGACGGUGAGGGAUGAAGGCCGGGGGAGCGAUCAGG